GCUCCUUUAGCUCAGUGGUAGAGCGGAAGAUUGCAGAUCUUCAGGUCAAUCGUUCGAACCGGUUAGGGAGCU